rnacentral:rRNA from 1 species
AGAGUUUGAUCCUGGCUCAGAACGAACGCUGGCGGCAGGCUUCAUACAUGCAAGUCGAGCGCGAAAGCUCCUUCGGGAGUGAUUAGAGCGGCGAACGGGUGAGUAACAGGUGGACAACCUGCCUUCGGGUGGGGGAUAACGGUUGGAAACGGCCGCUAAUACCGCAUACGGUUGCUCUGCUUCGGCAGAGUAAGUAAAGGAGCUAUUGCUCCGCCGGAAGAUGGGUCCGCCUCCCAUUAGCUUGUUGGUGAGAUAACAGCUCACCAAGGCGACGAUGGGUAGCCGAACUGAGAGGUUGAUCGGCCACACUGGAACUGAGAUACGGUCCAGACACCUACGGGUGGCAGCAGUAGGGAAUAUUGCGCAAUGGGCGAAAGCCUGACGCAGCCAUGCCGCGUGGAUGAUGAAGGCCUUCGGGUCGUAAAGUCCUUUUCUGAGGGAAGAACAUCCAGGGGAGUGGAAAGCCCCUGGCCUGACGGUACCUCAGGAAUAAGCAACGGCUAACUCCGUGCCAGCAGCCGCGGUAAUACGGAGGUUGCAAGCGUUGUUCGGAAUUACUGGGCGUAAAGGGAGCGCAGGCGGCCAGGUCAGUCUGAAGUGAAAGCCCGGGGCUCAACCCCGGAAUGGCUUUGGAUACUGCCCGGCUUGA